rnacentral:rRNA from 1 species
AUUGAACGCUGGCGGCAUGCCUUACACAUGCAAGUCGAACGGCAGCACGGGAGCAAUCCUGGUGGCGAGUGGCGAACGGGUGAGUAAUAUAUCGGAACGUGCCCAGUCGUGGGGGAUAACGUAGCGAAAGCUACGCUAAUACCGCAUACGAUCUAUGGAUGAAAGCGGGGGAUCGCAAGACCUCGCGCGAUUGGAGCGGCCGAUAUCAGAUUAGCUUGUUGGUGGGGUAAUGGCCUACCAAGGCAACGAUCUCUAGCUGGUCUGAGAGGACGAUCAGCCACACUGGGACUGAGACACGGCCCAGACUCCUACGGGAGGCAGCAGUGGGGAAUAUUGGACAAUGGGCGAAAGCCUGAUCCAGCAAUGCCGCGUGUGUGAAGAAGGCCUGAGGGUUGUAAAGCACUUUCAAUCGUGAAGAAAAGUUGCAGGCUAAUACCCUGUGACCUUGACGUUAACGAUACAAGAAGCACCGG